rnacentral:rRNA from 1 species
UACGAACUGUGCGAACGUUAUUCGGAAUCACUGGGCUUAAAGGGUGCGUAGGCGGUUAUCUAAGUCAGGUGUGAAAUCUUCCGGCUCAACCGGAAAACUGCGCCUGAGACUGGAUGACUUGAGUGAGGUAGGGGUGUGUGGAACUUCCGGUGGAGCGGUGAAAUGUGUAGAGAUCGGAAGGAACGCCAGCAGCGAAAGCGGCACACUGGGCCUUUUCUGACGCUGAGGCACGAAAGCUAGGGGAGUGAACGGGAUUAGAUACCCCGGUAAUCCUAGCCGUAAACACUGAACACUGGAGGACGGGGGCUUCGGCCUUCGUUCUCGUAGCGAAAGCGUUAAGUGUUCCGCCUGGGGAGUAUGGUCGCAAGGCUGAA